GGUAUAUAGGGAGAAGGAUGCUGAGGAUGGAGCCAUGAGGCAGAAGGAAAAUAGGGAGGCCAAAGAGGAGGUUUCUAGAUGUGGUGACGGAGGGCAUGCAGAGGACAGAGUGAGAUGGAAAC